rnacentral:sRNA from 1 species
AACAAAUCAACUAAAC